GCGCCCUUAGCUCAGCUGGAUAGAGUACCUGGCUACGAACCAGGCGGUCGGAGGUUCGAAUCCUCCAGGGCGUGCCA
rnacentral:tRNA from 1 species